rnacentral:rRNA from 1 species
CCGGCGAUGUCCGAAUGGGGAAACCCAGUGCAAUUCGUUGCACUAUCGUUAACUGAAUACAUAGGUUAACGAGGCGAACCGGGGGAACUGAAACAUCUAAGUACCCCGAGGAAAAGAAAUCAACCGAGAUUCCCCCAGUAGCGGCGAGCGAACGGGGAGCAGCCCAGAGUCUGAAUCAGCUUGUGUGUUAGUGGAACGGUCUGGAAAGUCCGACGGUACAGGGUGAUAGUCCCGUACACCAAAAUGCACAGGCUGUGAACUCGAAGAGUAGGGCGGGACACGUGGUAUCCUGUCUGAAUAUGGGGGGACCAUCCUCCAAGGCUAAAUACUCCUGACUGACCGAUAGUGAACCAGUACCGUGAGGGAAAGGCGAAAAGAACCCCGGCGAGGGGAGUGAAAAAGAACCUGAAACCGUGUACGUACAAGCAGUGGGAGCACCUUCGGGUGUGACUGCGUACCUUUUGUAUAAUGGGUCAGCGACUUAUAUUCUGUAGCAAGGUUAACCGUAUAGGGGAGCCGCAGGGAAACCGAGUCUUAACUGGGCGUUAAGUUGCAGGGUAUAGACCCGAAACCCGGUGAUCUAGCCAUGGGCAGGUUGAAGGUUGGGUAACACUAACUGGAGGACCGAACCGACUAAUGUUGAAAAAUUAGCGGAUGACUUGUGGCUGGGGGUGAAAGGCCAAUCAAACCGGGAGAUAGCUGGUUCUCCCCGAAAGCUAUUUAGGUAGCGCCUCGUGAACUCAUCUUCGGGGGUAGAGCACUGUUUCGGCUAGGGGGUCAUCCCGACUUACCAACCCGAUGCAAACUACGAAUACCGAAGAAUGUUAUCACGGGAGACACACGGCGGGUGCUAACGUCCGUCGUGAAGAGGGAAACAACCCAGACCGCCAGCUAAGGUCCCAAAGUCAUGGUUAAGUGGGAAACGAUGUGGGAAGGCACAGACAGCCAGGAUGUUGGCUUAGAAGCAGCCAUCAUUUAAAGAAAGCGUAAUAGCUCACUGGUCGAGUCGGCCUGCGCGGAAGAUGUAACGGGGCUAAACCAUGCACCGAAGCUGCGGCAGCGACACUAUGUGUUGUUGGGUAGGGGAGCGUUCUGUAAGCCUGCGAAGGUGUGCUGUGAGGCAUGCUGGAGGUAUCAGAAGUGCGAAUGCUGACAUAAGUAACGAUAAAGCGGGUGAAAAGCCCGCUCGCCGGAAGACCAAGGGUUCCUGUCCAACGUUAAUCGGGGCAGGGUGAGUCGACCCCUAAGGCGAGGCCGAAAGGCGUAGUCGAUGGGAAACAGGUUAAUAUUCCUGUACUUGGUGUUACUGCGAAGGGGGGACGGAGAAGGCUAUGUUAGCCGGGCGACGGUUGUCCCGGUUUAAGCAUGUAGGCUGGCUGAUUGUCCAGGCAAAUCCGGAUAAUCAAGGCUGAGGUGUGAUGACGAGGCACUACGGUGCUGAAGUAACAAAUGCCCUGCUUCCAGGAAAAGCCUCUAAGCAUCAGGUAACAUCAAAUCGUACCCCAAACCGACACAGGUGGUCAGGUAGAGAAUACCAAGGCGCUUGAGAGAACUCGGGUGAAGGAACUAGGCAAAAUGGUGCCGUAACUUCGGGAGAAGGCACGCUGGUGUGUAGGUGAAGUCCCUGCGGAUGGAGCUGAGACCAGUCGAAGAUACCAGCUGGCUGCAACUGUUUAUUAAAAACACAGCACUGUGCAAACACGAAAGUGGACGUAUACGGUGUGACGCCUGCCCGGUGCCGGAAGGUUAAUUGAUGGGGUUAUCCGUAAGGAGAAGCUCUUGAUCGAAGCCCCGGUAAACGGCGGCCGUAACUAUAACGGUCCUAAGGUAGCGAAAUUCCUUGUCGGGUAAGUUCCGACCUGCACGAAUGGCGUAAUGAUGGCCAGGCUGUCUCCACCCGAGACUCAGUGAAAUUGAACUCGCUGUGAAGAUGCAGUGUACCCGCGGCAAGACGGAAAGACCCCGUGAACCUUUACUAUAGCUUGACACUGAACAUUGAGCCUUGAUGUGUAGGAUAGGUGGGAGGCUUUGAAGCGUGGACGCCAGUCUGCGUGGAGCCAACCUUGAAAUACCACCCUUUAAUGUUUGAUGUUCUAACGUUGGCCCCUGACCGGGGUUGCGGACAGUGUCUGGUGGGUAGUUUGACUGGGGCGGUCUCCUCCCAAAGCGUAACGGAGGAGCACGAAGGUUAGCUAAUCCUGGUCGGACAUCAGGAGGUUAGUGCAAUGGCAUAAGCUAGCUUGACUGCGAGCGUGACGGCGCGAGCAGGUGCGAAAGCAGGUCAUAGUGAUCCGGUGGUUCUGAAUGGAAGGGCCAUCGCUCAACGGAUAAAAGGUACUCCGGGGAUAACAGGCUGAUACCGCCCAAGAGUUCAUAUCGACGGCGGUGUUUGGCACCUCGAUGUCGGCUCAUCACAUCCUGGGGCUGAAGUAGGUCCCAAGGGUAUGGCUGUUCGCCAUUUAAAGUGGUACGCGAGCUGGGUUUAGAACGUCGUGAGACAGUUCGGUCCCUAUCUGCCGUGGGCGCUGGAGAAUUGAGGGGGGCUGCUCCUAGUACGAGAGGACCGGAGUGGACGCAUCACUGGUGUUCGGGUUGUCAUGCCAAUGGCACUGCCCGGUAGCUAAAUGCGGAAGAGAUAAGUGCUGAAAGCAUCUAAGCACGAAACUUGCCCCGAGAUGAGUUCUCCCUGAGACU